UGGGGAAUAUUGGACAAUGGGCGCAAGCCUGAUCCAGCCAUGCCGCGUGAGUGAUGAAGGCCUUAGGGUUGUAAAGCUCUUUUGUCCGGGAAGAUAAUGACUGUACCGGAAGAAUAAGCCCCGGCUAACUUCGUGCCAGCAGCCGCGGUAAUACGAAGGGGGCUAGCGUUGCUCGGAAUCACUGGGCGUAAAGGGCGCGUAGGCGGACUUUUAAGUCGGAGGUGAAAGCCCAGGGCUCAACCCUGGAAUUGCCUUCGAUACUGGGAGUCUUGAGUUCGGAAGAGGUUGGUGGAAAUGCGAGUGUAGAGGUGAAAUUCGUAGAUAUUCGCAAGAACACCGGUGGCGAAGGCGGCCAACUGGUCCGAAACUGACGCUGAGGCGCGAAAGCGUGGGGAGCAAACAGG
rnacentral:rRNA from 1 species